rnacentral:rRNA from 1 species
UACAUGCCUGGAAAAAAAAUAAUAAAAAUUUAAACCGUACCCGAAACUAACACCGGUGGGUGGAUAAAAAUUAUUAAGAUGAUCGAAAAAAAAACAUUGAAGGAACUCGGCAAAAUGCUUUUGUAACUUAGGGAGAAAAAAGACUUGCAAAACAAGUAGCAUAAAAUAGAAGGUAACGACUGUUUAAUAAAAACACAGGAUUCUGCUAAAUUGAAAAAUAAUGAAUAGAAUCUGACACCUGCCCGGUGCUGUAAAGUAAAAAUACACAGGUUUAAGCUAGUGUAAUAAACUCCAGUAAACGGCGGCUGUAACUCUGACGGUCCGAAGGUAGCGAAAUUCCUUGGCGGGUAAGUUCCGUCCUGCAUGAAUGGUGUAACGAUUGCCUUACUGUCUCCAAUGUUUAUUCGGUGAAGUUGAAGUUGUCGUGAAGAUGCGAUAUAUACGUAGUUAGACGGAAAGACCCUAUGCACCUUUACUAUAAUCAUAAAAAGCUUUUAUAACUAAAGUAUAGUAUAAUAGUGAAAGCCUAUACUGUUUUUAGUAAUAAAAGAGUACACUAAAAUGCUUAAUAAAUGUUUGCAUUAUAUAUUUAUGACUGGUAGUUUGACUGGGGCGGUCACUUCCCAAAAAGUAACGGAAGUAAUCAUAAGGUUAAUUUGUUUUUAAUUUAUAAAGUUAACCUGAUUUAUUAACUCACAAGUUUAUGAAGGAUAAUUUAAUUGUCUGAAAUAAUGAUCCGAUAUAUUUAAGUAAGAGUAGUAUGUCGCUAAAUGGAUACAAGGUACGCUAGGGAUAACAGGCUUAUAAAUUCUGAAAGUCCUUAUUAAAGAAUUUGUUUGGCACCUCGAUGUCGACUCAUCAUAUCCUAGCGGUGCACACGCUGCUAAGGGUUCGGCUGUUCGCCGAUUAAAAUGGUACGUGAGUUGGGUUUAGAACGUCGUGAGACAGUUUGGUCCCUAUCUUCUACGUUAUGGAAAUAAAAAAAAAUAUUAACUCUAGUACGAGAGGACCGAGAAAAUAUUACCAAGUGUUAACCAAUUAUUUUAGUAGAGUAAGUUGGAAAGCGAAGUAAUUAAAGAUAACUAUUGAAACCAUAUAAAUAGGAAGCUUAUUUUUUUUU